rfam:Ciona savignyi cont_29449, whole genome shotgun sequence.
CUCUAGUGGUUAGGAUUCCUGGCUUUCACCCAGGCGACCCGGGUUCGAUUCCCGG